UACGUAGGGGGCCAGCGUUGCUCGGAAUUACUGGGCGUAAAGGGUCCGUAGGCGGUGUAGCAAGUCGAUAGUGAAAUCUCUGGGCUUAACCCAGAGGCUGCUAACGAAACUGCUGUGCUAGAGUGUGAGAGAGGCGAGUGGAAUUACGGGUGUAGCGGUGAAAUGCGUAGAUAUCCGUAGGAACAUCCGAGGCGAAGGCGGCUCGCUGGAUCACAACUGACGCUGAGGGACGAAAGCUAGGGGAGCAAACCGG
rnacentral:rRNA from 1 species